AUAACCAUCCUAUAAAUACUUGGCGAGCAUUUUUAAAAAUUUUAUAUUUCGAUUUGCCAGUACAGCUAGUUGCAACAUUUAAUAGAAAAAUUACACUAUUUGUAAAUUAUUUGAAUUUAGUAUCAUGACUAGUACAAGGUAUAAUAGUGGACGCAGCAAGCAGGAAAGAAAACACUUGAAACAAGUUAGGGUUGCAAAAGAGACCACUUUUUUCCAAAAAGAAGGGAAUGUGCAAAAUUUGAUAUUGAUGCAGAAAGCAAUAGUGAAUGAAGUGGAUAUAUAAUUAGAUAAAUAUAGUUGUAAGGAAGCUACACUGAGAAGAAAUCCUCUAUCUGCUACUUGUUACAUAAAUGUAUGCCAGACGCCAAAAAUAUAAUAAAAAAUACAAUAUAAAAACAAUAAAAAAAUCCUAAUUUUGUCGAAAA